rnacentral:rRNA from 1 species
AUUGAACGCUGGCGGCAGGCCUAACACAUGCAAGUCGAACGGUAACAGGAAGACGCUUGCUUCUUUGCUGACGAGUGGCGGACGGGUGAGUAAUGUCUGGGAAACUGCCUGAUGGAGGGGGAUAACUACUGGAGACGGUAGCUAAUACCGCAUAACGUCGCAAGACCAAAGAGGGGGACCUUCGGGCCUCUUGCCAUCGGAUUUGCCCAGAUGGGAUUAGCUAGUAGGUGGGGUAACGGCUCACCUAGGCGACGAUCCCUAGCUGGUCUGAGAGGAUGACCAGCCACACUGGAACUGAGACACGGUCCAGACUCCUACGGGAGGCAGCAGUGGGGAAUAUUGCACAAUGGGCGCAAGCCUGAUGCAGCCAUGCCGCGUGUAUGAAGAAGGCCUUCGGGUUGUAAAGUACUUUCAGCGGGGAGGAAGGGAGUAAAGUUAAUACCUUUGCUCAUUGACGUUACCCGCAGAAGAAGCACCGGCUAACUCCGUG